GAGACACUAGUAAAAUAGUAAUUACAAUGCUUUGUCAGGGCAUAAUUGUGAGUUAAAACCUCACGUGUUUUA
rnacentral:tRNA from 1 species